CCGCCGAGCCGGGUACCAGGGGUGGCGCUGGGGACGAGGACGCGUCCCCAGCCGCGGGCCUCGCUCCAGCUGGGCGCUGUUUUGUAAGGACUCCUGGGCCUCUGCGGCGCAGAGAUAAGCCCAAGAAUUCGCCGCCAGUUCCAAAUAUCCCGUCCGCUUCCUCCCGCCGUCCUCGCCGCCGCUCCAGCCCGCUUGUCUCAUUUCCGCAGCAGCGUGCUGGGGAGCGCUUCCUGUUUUCCCCCCGGCCCCGGGGCGGCGGCGGGGGGCUGAGGGGCGCGGGGAGGAAGGGCAGGACAAUGGGCGCAAGGCUUUGCUGUAAAUCAACCCAAGCUCCCUUGAGAGCAUCGUCUCUGUGCCGCAGUGGGAGCCCCUGCUCCAGCUGGGCAUGAGGACAGGAAUGAAGCCGGGUGGAGCACAGCCCUGGGCGGGGGGACCCUGCCCUCUAUGGGGCAAUGAAUCGCCCUGCCACAAGUUGCAUUUUAGGGUCCCCUCCAGUCAAACCACCCACCACAACCCUCUCCUCCCCAGCCACAGUACAAGAGAGCAGCAUCCCCACGGGACUGCCAUCUCCCAGGAGCUGUGUCUCGGAGCAGGGGGUUAGGAAGUGGCUCCCCCAUCCCAAACUGCAGCUGUGAGAAAAGAGGGGUCCACUUCGGGGCUCUGCUCACUCGGAGCCCAGCAAUCUCCUGCCACAGCGUGGCAGGAGUUAUUCAAAGGCGGGCGGAAGCAAGCACAGCAACUGAAACAACAAUGAAAAGGAAACAGAGCUCGAAAAACUCUCCGUUCAUAAAUCAACUGAACUGCAGGUGAUCCCUGGGCAGGAGCGAGCUGAGGAAGAGACACGGCUCGGCUCAGCAUGGCCAGCAGCCAGGCAGGGUUGGGGGAGGCUGGGAUUUCCCAGGGUGGUCCCAAGUGAUGCUGGGGUCGGUGUCCAUGUCUCCGGGGCUGCACAUUAGGGCCUUUGAGGCAGGUGAGGUGCAAGUGUCGCUGGGUUUAUUUUUAUUACAAUUUUUUUUAUGCAUCUAGGUGAGAAAGGUGAAGCUGUGAGGGGUGGAGUGGGUUUGUGGGGUCAGCAUUGCAUGCACACGCACAGGCAUGUGCCUGCUUUCCAGGCCAGAGGAAUGCAACAAGCCCAGGGAUGUGAUGGGGUGCAGGGACCGUACCACAGCCCCUCAUGGCCAGCAGAGUGGGGGGACAUAGUAAUUUUGGUGCUUGAGGGGGUGCAGAGCAGCCCCACUCUCUUUAUUCCUCUCCAUGUUUGCUUUUUGGGUUGAAAUCCAUCACUUUGGAAGCAGAGAAGCCAAAAAGUUGUGGGUGAGCAGUCUGUGGCUGUGCCAUGGGAGAUGUUGGGGUUAAUGGGAGAUGAUCCAGGGUUCUCGGCAGCAUCAGGUCGUGGCUCCUUGCUGGGAUCUCAUAAAGGCUUUUUCCUCCUUAGGAAAUAGAGCUGCUGGAUUGGGACAGGCCUCUCGGUGCUGGCAGCAUCGCUGCACAGGCAGGGGAUGGGCAUGGGUGGAAAAAUCUCCCCCUCCUGCCUCCAGCUGUGUCCUGCAGCAUCUUGCUCCAGGCAAGACAGGGGCCAGUUUGGACAAACCAAGCUGUCCCCUCCUAGCUGUCCCCUCUGCCAGCUCCUGUAAGCUGAGACCCAGUCCUGGGGACACCAAAAGGAACUUGUGCCUUUGGGACCAGUGGAUGGCCCAAAGACCAGGCUGGUGGCAGUGGGCUGACCUUACAGCAGAGGAAAUGAUCCAGUCAUGUUCCCUGCACUGGGAAAGCCAGGAGAGAUUGCAUGUCCCCCUCUGCUGCUAUCCGUCCUCCCUCCUGUGAUUUCCCUGUCAUCUUGUCUUUUGGCAGAGCUGGAAAACUGGGAGACCACCGUAAAUAAAUCCUGUGUCUUUAA